GGGGAGCUUCCCAUACGGGUUGAAGCAUGACCGUAAGGACAUGUGGACAGUAUGGGAGUGAGAAUGUUGGCAUGAGUAGCGAGAUGUGGGUGGGAAUCCCACAGGCCGUAAACCCAAGGUUUCCAGGGGAAGGUUCGUCCACCCUGGGUUAGUCGGGACCUAAGCUGAGGCCGAAAGGCGUAGGUGAUGGACAACAGGUUGAUAUUCCUGUACUACCGAUAACCGUUUGAGAGAAGGGAUGACACAGUAGGAUAAGCUAAGCACACUGUUGGUUAUGUGUGCCCAAGCAUUGAGGCAGUCAAAGUAGGCAAAUCCGCUUUGAUAAUGCUGGGAUGUGAUGGGGAGCGAAAUUUAGUAGCGAAGUAGCUGAUUUCACACUGUCAAGAAAAGUCUCUAUCGAGGUUAAAGGUACCCGUACCGCAAACCGACACAGGUGGGUGAGGAGAGUAUCCUAAGGCCAGCGAGAGAACUGUUGUUAAGGAACUCGGCAAAAUGACCCCGUAACUUAGGGAUAAGGGGUGCCACCAUCAGGUGGCCGCAGAGAAUAGGCCCAAGCGACUGUUUACCAAAAACAUAGGUUUCUGCUAAGUCGCAAGACGAUGUAUAGGAGCUGACGCCUGCCCGGUGCUGGAAGGUUAAGGGGAUCUGUUAGAGCAAUCGAAGCAGUGAACUUAAGCCCCAGUAAACGGCGGCCGUAACUAUAACGGUCCUAAGGUAGCGAAAUUCCUUGUCGGGUAAGUUCCGACCCGCACGAAAGGCGUAACGAUUUGGGCACUGUCUCAACAACAGACUCGGUGAAAUUGUAAUUCCGGUGAAGAUGCCGGAUACCUGCGACAGGACGGAAAGACCCCAUGGAGCUUUACUGUAGCUUGACAUUGGGUCUUGGUACUACAUGUACAGGAUAGGUGGGAGGCUUUGAAACCAGGACGCCAGUUUUGGCGGAGCCAUCCUUGGGAUACCACCCUUGUAGUACUGGGACUCUAACCAUAGGCCAUGAAUCUGGUCUUGGGACACUGUCAGGUGGGCAGUUUGACUGGGGCGGUCGCCUCCCAAAAGGUAACGGAGGCGCUCAAAGGUUCUCUCAGUACGGUCGGAAAUCGUACGUAGAGUGUAAAGGCAAAAGAGAGCUUGAUUGCAAGACAUACAGGUCGAGCAAGGAUGAAAAUCGGACUUAGUGAUCCGGUGGUUCUGCGUGGAAGGGCCAUCGCUCAACGGAUAAAAGCUACCCUGGGGAUAACAGGCUUAUCUCCCCCAAGAGUCCACAUCGACGGGGAGGUUUGGCACCUCGAUGUCGGCUCAUCACAUCCUGGGGCUGUAGUAGGUCCCAAGGGUUGGGCUGUUCGCCCAUUAAAGUGGUACGCGAGCUGGGUUCAGAACGUCGUGAGACAGUUCGGUCCCUAUCCGUCGCAGGCGUAGGAAAUUUGAGAAGACCUGUCCUUAGUACGAGAGGACCGGGAUGGACGUACCUCUGGUGUACCAGUUGUCCUGCCAAGGGCAUGGCUGGGUAGCUAUGUACGGAAUGGAUAAGCGCUGAAAGCAUCUAAGCGCGAAGCCAACUUCAAGAUAAGAUUUCCCACCGCAAGGGUAAGACCCCAGAAAGACUAUCUGGUUGA
rnacentral:rRNA from 1 species